CAGUCGUACCGGUGGGUAAUCAGCCUUUCGGCGUGAUUAUGUGGAACGUGAGGAGUUAAACGCCUUCAUGCCUGCAUAUUCGUGUUCUUUGGGUGUACUUACCCGCAUGGUAGGUUAACAUCAAUUUCGAACGUCAUAAAAUGGUUGGAGGAAUGUGGCUUCGAUCUCGUAUUGAAGUGUUAUAGCCUUCGGCAGAUGUGAUGAUCGGGAUUGAGGAUUGCAACGGAUACCUUCGGGGCUACCCGUCUGAUCUCUGAAAGUUGCUCUGGUGCCGACAGCUCGCUUACGGUCAUCAAAGUUGACGUUCAACAGGUUAGAACGGGAUAAA
rnacentral:rRNA from 1 species